GACGAACGCUGGCGGCGUGCUUAACACAUGCAAGUCGAACGAUGAAGCUGGAGCUUGCUCUGGCGGAUUAGUGGCGAACGGGUGAGUAACACGUGAGAAAUCUGCCCUUGACUCUGGGAUAACUGCGGGAAACUGUAGCUAAUACCGGAUACUUUCCCUGGUGGGCAUCCACUGGGGAAGAAAGAAUUUCGGUCAAGGAUGAUCUCGCGGCCUAUCAGCUUGUUGGUGAGGGAAUGGCUCACCAAGGCGACGACGGGUAGCCGGCCUGAGAGGGUGACCGGCCACACUGGGACUGAGACACUGCCCAGACUCCUACGGGAGGCAGCAGUGGGGAAUAUUGCACAAUGGGCGCAAGCCUGAUGCAGCGACGCCGCGUGAGGGAUGACGGCCUUCGGGUUGUAAACCUCUUUCAGCAUCGACGAAGCGAAAGUGACGGUAGGUGCAGAAGAAGGACCGGCCAACUACGUGCCAGCCGCCGCAGUAA
rnacentral:rRNA from 1 species